UUUUAAUUUUUUUUUUUCUCUUUAAAAUCUUGUAAUGAUUUGAGAUCUUGAAGAAUGCUUAAGGAACAUCAUAAAAUAACGAGGGGGUUGUUUCUCUUUUUUUGUUUCUUAUGGAUUGAUUGGAUAUUAACAUGAAAUAUUGAUUCUUUAUUUUUCUCUUUAAAAAUCUUGUUACCGUUUUGAGGUCAUAAUAACUGCUGAAGGAAAAAAAGCAUGAAGAGGAAAACUGAAGCUUUUCUUCAUGCUUCAAAUAUUG
rnacentral:misc_RNA from 1 species